rnacentral:misc_RNA from 1 species
GUGGCUGUGGCACACGCCUCCGAGGUAAUAAUCUUGUAAGUUUUCGCUAUAUAUCAUGGCAAAUUCUUCAUAAAAAUUUAAUUAUAGAUGCUAAGAAGCAAAUAUUGUCUAUUAUUAAGUAAAGACCAGCUGAAAUGGUGUUUAUCUUAGGAAUUCUACAAUUGAAAGGGAUUGUUACAUAAGUAAGUCUCUUGUGAACUUUUUCCAUUAAAUUCUCAACUAACAUAAAGUUGAGAAAUGUGACUACUCUGCCAAAGCUUGGUUGGUGUUAUUUUUGUGGCUUGAAUUUUGGAUA